UGGGAAUAUUGCACAAUGGGCGCAAGCCUGAUGCAGCCAUGCCGCGUGUGUGAAGAAGGCCUUCGGGUUGUAAAGCACUUUCAGCGGGGAGGAAGGCGAUAAGGUUAAUAACCUUGUCGAUUGACGUUACCCGCAGAAGAAGCACCGGCUAACUCCGUGCCAGCAGCCGCGGUAAUACGGAGGGUGCAAGCGUUAAUCGGAAUUACUGGGCGUAAAGCGCACGCAGGCGGUUUGUUAAGUCAGAUGUGAAAUCCCCGGGCUCAACCUGGGAACUGCAUCUGAUACUGGCAAGCUUGAGUCUCGUAGAGGGGGGUAGAAUUCCAGGUGUAGCGGUGAAAUGCGUAGAGAUCUGGAGGAAUACCGGUGGCGAAGGCGGCCCCCUGGACGAAGACUGACGCUCAGGUGCGAAAGCGUGGGGAGCAAACAGG
rnacentral:rRNA from 1 species